rnacentral:rRNA from 1 species
UCCGUAGGUGAACCUGCGGAGCGUUCAUCCAUCGUUAAUAUGAAGGCGGGCUGGAACCUCUCGGGGUUACAGCCUUGCUGAAUUAUUCACCCUUGUCUUUUGCGUACUUCUUGUUUCCUUGGUGGGUUCGCCCACCACUAGGACAAACAUAAACUCAUGUAAUUGCAAUCAGCGUCAGUAACAAAUUAAUAAUUACAACUUUCAACAACGGAUCUCUUGGUUCUGGCAUCGAUGAAGAAACUAGCGAAAUGCGAUAAGUAGUGUGAAUUGCAGAAUUCAGUGAAUCAUCGAAUCUUUGAACGCACAUUGCGCCCUUUGGUAUUCCAAAGGGCAUGCAUUCAUAGCGUCAUUUGUACCCUCAAGCUUUGCUUGGUGUUGGGCGUCUUGUCUCUAGCUUUGCUGGAGACUCGCCUUAAAGUAAUUGGCAGCCGGCCUACUGGUUUCGGAGCGCAGCACCGGCAUUCAGGACCUCUAUCAGCAAAGGUCUAGCAUCCAUUAAGCCUUUUUUUCAACUUUUGACCUCAUCCAAGGAUAGGGAUACCCGCUGAACUUAAGCAUAUCAAUAAGCGGAGGA